UACGUAGGGUGCAAGCGUUAAUCGGAAUUACUGGGCGUAAAGCGUGCGCAGGCGGUGAUGUAAGACAGGUGUGAAAUCCCCGGGCUUAACCUGGGAACUGCAUUUGUGACUGCAUCGCUGGAGUGCGGCAGAGGGGGAUGGAAUUCCGCGUGUAGCAGUGAAAUGCGUAGAUAUGCGGAGGAACACCGAUGGCGAAGGCAAUCCCCUGGGCCUGCACUGACGCUCAUGCACAAAAGCGUGGGGAGCAAACAGG
rnacentral:rRNA from 1 species